CCGCGCCGCGCGCCCAGCAGCCCGGCGCCCGCCGCCGCCUCUUCAAUGGGCAACCUGCUCGGCGGGGUCAGCUUCCGCGAGCCCACCACCGUGGAGGACUGCGACUCCACCUGGCAGACGGACUCGGAGCCGGAGCCGGAGGAGCCAGGGCCGGGCGGCGGCGGCCAGGGCCCGGGGCAGGAACCCGAGGAGCCCGCGCAGCCUCCGGAGCGAGCUGGGGGGCGGCCCCGCGCCAGCCCUGCGCCGGACGAGGACGCCGAGGCGGCGGGCGCCGAGCAGGGUGGUGAUUCCUCUGAAGCAACUGCCAAACCAAAGAGAAGUUUUUAUGCUGCAAGGGAUUUGUACAAAUACCGACAUCAGUACCCACAGAACUUCAAAGAUAUCCGAUAUCAAAAUGACUUGAGCAAUCUUCGUUUCUAUAAGAAUAAAAUUCCAUUUAAGCCAGAUGGUGUUUACAUUGAAGAAGUUUUAAAUAAAUGGAAAGGAGAUUAUGAAAAGCUGGAGCACAACCACACUUACAUUCAAUGGCUUUUUCCCCUGAGAGAACAAGGCUUGAACUUUUAUGCUAAAGAGCUAACUACAUAUGAAAUUGAGGAAUUCAAAAAAACAAAAGAAGCAAUUAGAAGAUUCCUCCUGGCUUAUAAAAUGAUGCUAGAAUUUUUUGGAAUAAAACUGAUUGAUAAAAAUGGAAAUGUUGCUCGGGCUGUUAACUGGCAGGAAAGAUUUCAGCAUCUGAAUGAGUCCCAGCACAACUAUUUAAGAAUCACCCGUAUUCUCAAAAGCCUUGGUGAGCUUGGAUAUGAAAGUUUUAAAUCUCCUCUUGUAAAAUUUAUUCUUCAUGAAGCUCUUGUGGAAAAUACUAUUCCCAAUAUUAAGCAGAGUGCUCUGGAGUAUUUUGUUUAUACAAUUAGAGAUAGAAGAGAAAGGAGAAAGCUCCUGCGGUUUGCCCAGAAACAUUACACGCCUUCAGAGAAUUUUAUCUGGGGACCACCUAAAAAAGAACAAUCAGAGGGAAGCAAAGCUCAGAAAAUGCCGGCCCCUCCUGCCUCUAGUCAUAACAGUCAAACGUCUAUGCACAAAAAAUCCAAGGACUCCAAAACUUCCUCUUCAGCUGUUCAUUUAAAUAGCAAAACAGCUGAAGAAAAAAAAGUGGCACCAAAAGAGUCUGGGGAAGAGACAGACAGGCCCAGCCCAGAGCCCAACAAUGAAGCUGCCAAACCAGAAAACACAGAGGACAGUGAUACUGAAAAUUCAAAUGCUCAAUCUGAGAAAACAGUUACUACUCCAACAGAAAGAAAGGAGAGUUCAUCUCCUUCUGAAAAAGAAGAAGAGGGCGAAAAUCAUAACAAAGACUGUGAAAAUCCUGGAAAUACCAGUUGCCAUGAUGAGGCUUGGCCAGGCACUGACAAGGGUAACGUGUUGACUCUCAGCAUGACUGACUGAAUGAAUUAAAGAUGAUUAAAAAUAUACCGACAUGUCUAGGAACCAUGCAAAGAUGUACCCACCUCCCAGAUGACUUUACAACCUGUUCUUUCUGAACCAGACUUUUACCAAGGACCCCUCGACUGACCCAAAACAUUCCUAAAAAAGGGAAACCCAAACUGCUUGCCCAACAUCACAGCCCAAAGCAGCCACAGUGGUCAUUGCCCAUUUCCAAUGCUCAUACUCCAAAGCACUUCCCCCUCCUCCUACCUGUUGUUGAAGUUACCUGACUCCAGGGAAUUGUUCCUCCCAGCAAGGGGUUAUUAAUAAAAACCACCUGGAUAACUCAUUUUCUGUCCUUGGUCACACCACCUUUUGGUCACAUAGGCAAGAUAAGAGGAGGAGGGGGCAUGAGAAGAAAGGAGAUCUGAAAUGUAUAAAAGGGGGAAGACAACCCCACUCUCUCAGGCACAAGUUUUGGAUCCCCUCCUCUAUGGAAGAAUAUCUCACCCCCGCUUCUAUCCUUUAAAUAAAACUUUUUGCUCUUGCCUGGA